rnacentral:rRNA from 1 species
AGCAGCCGCGGUAAUUCCAGCUCCAAUAGCGUAUAUUAAAGUUGUUGCAGUUAAAAAGCUCGUAGUUGAAUUUCGGGAUCAAGUCGUCGGUCGUGCUCAGGUACGUACUGGCGUCAUUGAUUUCUCCCUUCUGACGAACCAUGAUGUCAUUAACUUGGUGUCAUGGGAAAUCAGGACUGUUACUUUGAAAAAUUAGAGUGUUUAAAGCAGGCUCACGCUUGAAUACAUUAGCAUGGAAUAAUGAAAUAGGACGUUCGAUCCUAUUUUGUUGGUUUUAGGAUCAACGUAAUGAUUAAUAGGGAUAGUUGGGGGCAUUAGUAUUCAAUUGUCAGAGGUGAAAUUCUUGGAUUUAUUGAAGACUAACUACUGCGAAAGCAUUUGCCAAGGAUGUUUUCAUUAAUCAAGAACGAAAGUUAGGGGAUCGAAGACGAUCAGAUACCGUCGUAGUCU